CAUAAUAUUUCAUUCUAUAAUUCAAUCAAUAUGAAAAAAAUAUAACGUAAAGAUAAUUGAUAAUAUUCAUUUAAUAAGAUACAAAAUGUCCUGGAAAACACAACAAAAUGUCCUGGAAUGUCCUGGAAUUUAACUUUUAAAAUUUUGUGACCACCAUGAUUAAUCAAUCAACAUGUUUAAAGCUUCUGGGCGCUAGAGACCAUAAAAAAAUAAAGUUAUAAAGCAGGAGUCAUUUUGGGACUCCGCAUCCCUGGUAUGUGUACUCCAAACUAUCUGCAACUGUGAUUAUAAAACUCCAUUCCAUAGAGUUUGUGAUGAUUAAUUUGCCAUCACAUAAAUGUAGCAAAUAUUAAUGAAGCUAUGUCAAUAAACAAAAUGUUGACACAAAAAUGCCAAAUCUCAAUUUAAACGGUUCAUCUAAAUGUGUUAAAACGGAUGCAAGCACUAAAGAAGACAACGUUACAAACUGAAGCAGAAAUUUAUAACGAAUCAUGUAGACGAUUGGAUAUGAAUCGCAGAAAAGCACCAUUGUCGAAUGGUUAUGAAUCAAAUCUUUGUAUUAUAAUUGCGUAAAUAUAUUUUAAAAUUUAA